rnacentral:rRNA from 1 species
AACGAACGCUGGCGGCAGGCUUAACACAUGCAAGUCGAACGGUUGUAGCAAUACAGCAGUGGCGCACGGGUGAGUAACGCGUGGAUAUCUGCCUUUGGUUCGGAAUAACUCCGGGAAACUGGAGCUAAUACCGGAUGGUUCCUGCGGGAUAAAGAUUUAUCGCCAAAAGAUGAGUCCGCGUACGAUUAGCUAGUUGGUGAGGUAAUGGCUCACCAAGGCGACGAUCGUUAGCUGGUCUGAGAGGACGAUCAGCCACACUGGGACUGAGACACGGCCCAGACUCCUACGGGAGGCAGCAGUGGGGAAUAUUGGACAAUGGGGGCAACCCUGAUCCAGCCAUGCCGCGUGAGUGAUGAAGGCCUCGGUGUAAGCUCUCUUGGCGGGGACGAUGAUGACGGUACCCGCAGAAUAAGCCCCGGCUAACCUCGUGCCAGCAGCCGCCGGUAAU